rnacentral:rRNA from 1 species
CCUACGGGAGGCUGCAGUGGGGAAUAUUGGACAAUGGGGGCAACCCUGAUCCAGCCAUGCCGCGUGUGUGAAGAAGGCCCUCGGGUUGUAAAGCACUUUCAGUGAGGAAGAACGCCUGGUGGUUAAUACCCAUCAGGAAAGACAUCACUCACAGAAGAAGUACCGGCUAACUCCGUGCCAGCAGCCGCGGUAAUACGGAGGGUGCGAGCGUUAAUCGGAAUUACUGGGCGUAAAGCGCGCGUAGGUGGCUUGAUAAGCCGGUUGUGAAAGCCCCGGGCUCAACCUGGGAACGGCAUCCGGAACUGUCAAGCUAGAGUGCAGGAGAGGAAGGUAGAAUUCCCGGUGUAGCGGUGAAAUGCGUAGAGAUCGGGAGGAAUACCAGUGGCGAAGGCGGCCUUCUGGACUGACACUGACACUGAGGUGCGAAAGCGUGGGUAGCAAACAGGAUUAGAUACCCGAGUAGUC